UAAGCCCUGCAAGUUGCGAAGUCUCAAGUUCCACUUGGGAUACGAAUUUUAAAAAAUUUCAUAUCAACUGCAGGACUAU
rnacentral:sRNA from 12 species